AUAUGUCUAUUUACUAUUAAGUUUUAACCUCACAAAUAAAGUGGGAAACCCUAAUGUGUGUUAAAUGAACAUUUUCUAUUGAGUAGCUCCACUCAGUCAAGUCCCUGUUCAACAUACAUAGAUUCACCGCAUGUUCUACUGAGUAAACAGUCUUGUUGUUCACAGCUUUUACCUCCAGUCUAAGGGUAGUGGUUGACACAGAAACUGACCUAACUACAGCUGAGAUGGAAGAGGCAAUCCUAAAGCCACUUCGUGAGAAACUCAUCCAGAAUGGGCUUCCGAACAGCACCAACCUGAGACUGAGGAAAGUUUACCAGAUCAAGCCAUGAACAAGUCUGUCUGAUGAUACUUAAUCAAAGAUUACUUCAGUGCCUCUUCUUUUAGUCUUUUACAUGUGACUAAACCACAUACAAAAAUCUUACAUGCAUUACCUGAUUAAAGACGAAAUUGGUCAACAUGUAAUGACUUCAUCUGACAAUGAUUUAAAAAAAAAUAAAGCUUCAUACCAUUAA